GGACAAUAAAUCGUAGGACAUGUCAUCUUUUUCCUUUUUUUUUUACUCAACCCCUCAUCAUCCUACGGGUCUGCCGAUGCCGGAGGUCUCCCUCUGCUGGUGGGAAGCUGACCUGCUGUCAUGGAAAGAUGAGAUGAUCACUAUAAUCGCCUUGCCGGGAAAAGAUGCUGAAGUGAGGCCGGUGCCAGAAUACACAUGACCUGUACUUACCAUCAUGAAGAGCCCCUAACUG